GCUCUCUCUCUCUCUCGCAUCGAAAGAACUUCCGUUCAACCCCGCGACGCAUACAGUGGAGACCAACGCCAGUGGGUUCGAGCCACGGCGCUGACAAGGAAGGGCUUUUGGCGUGCGUGCCUGCUGGUCCUAAUCUAGAGACAAGAGAGAGAUAGAGACACACACAAUAACCUGGAUAUUACUUUUUUUCUUUUUUUGCUUUGGCACACUUUCGCUUCUCCGUGUCAUCGGACUGCCUCGCCUGGGCGUGGAAGGUGGAAACGAAAAGGUGGAACGCGUUAGUCGGUCUUCGGGUCGGUCGUGUUGUAUAAACUAAAAGCCCCAAACUUCCACACCUCCACUCACACGGCUGCGGCUCCUUCCCAAACAACGCAGCUGCACCACGGGAUCAACCCAGACGCUGCUCCCCUCUCCGGCGGCGAUUCCUCCGUCGCCCAACUUAUGCUGCGGUUGUUGACUCCGUUUCCCAGGAUGUAAAUGUCGGGAAAUACAAGCGCGUUGACGUUGGAGUUACGAUUUUUUCAAUUUUUGCCGUUUACGUUUCGCAUUUUCAAGGGGAAUACGGAUCGACCGCAUUUGGCAGACGCCUGUGCACGCAGAGAGUGAACUCCCCACUGAUAUCACAAGGAGAGGACUGAGGCCGUUCUCGUCACCGGAGAUCAGCCCUGCGACGCCUAACAGAUAGCAGAGGGCCGGCCGUACAGGACAGCAGGGCUCCGGGGGCCUCCACUAAACAGGUAAGGGGCCCAUUUCGUACUCGCUGAACUCGUUCUGCGGCUGGU